rnacentral:rRNA from 1 species
CUGGUCUUGACAUCCACAGAACUUUCCAGAGAUGGAUUGGUGCCUUCGGGAACUGUGAGACAGGUGCUGCAUGGCUGUCGUCAGCUCGUGUUGUGAAAUGUUGGGUUAAGUCCCGCAACGAGCGCAACCCUUAUCCUUUGUUGCCAGCGAUUAGGUCGGGAACUCAAAGGAGACUGCCAGUGAUAAACUGGAGGAAGGUGGGGAUGACGUCAAGUCAUCAUGGCCCUUACGACCAGGGCUACACACGUGCUACAAUGGCGCAUACAAAGAGAAGCGACCUCGCGAGAGCAAGCGGACCUCAUAAA